GUUGGGCAAGUCCAAGUCCUUCCUCUGGACGAGCAGCUCUGUCGGCAGGGAGGGUCGUGCACAGCAGCACUACUCAGAGAUGGAGGCUAGAACAGCACUGGACUUCACACGCUGCACCUCCUCUAGCGUCAAAGGAGAACUACAGUAGAACCUCAGUGAUGGGACUUGUCCGUAACACUGAACAAGCUGUUCUGGUGGGUGUCAGGGCUUCUGAGCCUGGAGAGCACCAUGCUCAGGGCUUUAGACCUGUGGGGAGUGCUGGGGCUUGGGGCUCCCCACAGCUGCACUCCUGGUUUCAGCUGGGGGUGGGGAGCACUGGGCGUUGGGGCUGUGGCUGAAACUGGCACACCCCAUGUCUAGGCACCCCCUGGGGGGCUGAAGCCAUGACGCCCCCCUCCUGCUGCAGCCCCAACACCCCCGCACAGCCCUGUUGAAGCCUUGAGUACUAGGGCUAAAGCCUCAAGGCAGUGAAGUAUGUGCUUUGUGUCUCUCUGUUGCUGCCUGAUUACUCCAGUCCCAGAGGGCGUCUGGUUGCCUGGUAAGUCUGUAACUCUGGUGUUUGUAUCUUUGAGGUUCUCCUGUACCCAGUUUGGACCCAUUUCUACAUGGAGUCCUCUUGAAGUCAUAGGCUGCUGCCCUGGCACAUACCUUGGCAGGACUCGGACCAUAACCAGGCUUGUGCAUACCUAGCAGCGUCCUUGCACCUCACUGGAGUGCCACUGGUUUCUUCCUCAGUGAGUUUGCCCAGCCGACUCGGAGCCACUGGGGCACUAUAUCUGCAGACAGGUGAUGUGCCUGCUCCCUUCCCUGCUGCAGGGUCACAGCUACUACCGAGAAGCAAGACAAAAGUAGAGAGUCUCUCGAGCCUCCCAUUUUGGUGUGUGGGGGCAUGCGUGGCUCAGCAGUGGUGGCAGAGGUGGGAUCGGUGGCAGGAGCAGAAGCAGAAGCUGUAGUAGCAGAAGCGGAGCUUGCCGAGACAGGCAUGGGGAGAGUUCUCUGAGGUAAAGUAAGGAAAGACCCCUGUUCUUUAUGUGCACCACUAUUUGAUACUCAUCUCUGAAGAUGAAGAAAGAACCCCAUGCUAUAACGAGAGGAAGUAUCUACCAACCAUUUGGCUGCUCUCCCUGCCCAGUAAUGCACUCCAGCUUGGUGAGAGGUGGAAACAGAGUUGAGGGGGGAGCUGUGGCAAUUGACCCUGUGCUGUGAGAAUCUGAGACAGAUGCAACUAUGUCCAAAGCACAAGCUGGUCUCCAUAGUGGGAGAGAGAGUUCAAGGACCAGAGAAACAAGUAUCGACCCUUCCUUGCAUAAUAGAAAACAAAGACAGACAGGCCCACAGAAGCAUAUCCUGACAUCUGCCCAGGACAACAUUCUGAGGAAGCAGAGCAGUCUGCCCUGGAGAACAGUGAGGAACCUCAGCAGCAUGUGACUUCCAAAAGACAACAGAGGAGCAUCCAUGUACCAGCAACACAAAUACAGCCUUGAACAAAAUGCAGGGAAAUCACUGUUGCCAUUUGAAAGGAACCGAGUGAAAUCUUAAUAAGAGAAUUAUGCCACAACAGAGCUAAAUCACAAGCAUUAAACAAACAAACAAGACAAGCACCAUCUCCAGCUCCUGUUCUUGCAAAUAUUCUCAAUACUUACUUGGUAGCAGGCUCAAACCUUAACUGCUGAAGAAGAGGAGCUGACUAUGCCAUAGGCAUCCAGCAAUCAUCCCUCCAUAGUGCCAACUAUAACACACAUCAGAGUUCAGAGUGAACCAUUCCAGACAUACAUAUACAUUUGCUGCUGAUGUAUGUAUGUUUUACAGAAAGUCACACCAGUGAACUGGACGAAGUCACUUAAG